CGUUAGCGGCGCGCCUAACACAUGCAAGUCGCACGAGAAAGGGAGCAACUCCCCGGUACAGUGGCGCGACGGGUGAGUAACACGUAGAUGACCUUCCCUGGAGUGGUGGAUAACCUGCCGAAAGGCGGGCUAAUACAGCAUGGGACCACAUGGUUUUGACCGAGUGGUGAAAGCGGGCCUCUGUUCACAAGCUCGCGCUCUGGGAUGGGUCUGCGUCCCAUCAGCUAGUUGGUGAGGUAAUGGCUCACCAAGGCAUCGACGGGUAGCUGGUCUGAGAGGAUGACCAGCCACACUGGAACUGAGACACGGUCCAGACUCCUACGGGAGGCAGCAGGUGGGGAAUCUUGCGCAAUGGGCGAAAGCCUGACGCAGCGACGCCGCGUGGGUGAUGAAGGCCUUCGGGUUGUAAAGCCCUGUGGGGAGGAACGAACCGUACGGGGGCGAACACCCUCCGUACCUGACGGUACCUCCUUAGCAAGCAUCGGCUAACUCUGUG
rnacentral:rRNA from 1 species